GACGCCGGCGUUUUGCACCUUCGC
rnacentral:siRNA from 1 species